GGCGAGUUACGAUCCCGUGCGAGGUUAAGCUGAAGAGGCGGAGCCGCAGCGAAAGCGAGUCUGAAUAGGGCGUUUAGUACGUGGUCGUAGACCCGAAACCAGGUGAUCUACCCAUGUCCAGGGUGAAGUUCAGGUAACACUGAAUGGAGGCCCGAACCCACGCACGUUGAAAAGUGCGGGGAUGAGGUGUGGGUAGCGGAGAAAUUCCAAUCGAACCUGGAGAUAGCUGGUUCUCCCCGAAAUAGCUUUAGGGCUAGCCUUAAGUGUAAGAGUCUUGGAGGUAGAGCACUGAUUGGACUAGGGGUCCUCAUCGGAUUACCGAAUUCAGUCAAACUCCGAAUGCCAAUGACUUAUCCUUAGGAGUCAGACUGCGAGUGAUAAGAUCCGUAGUCAAAAGGGAAACAGCCCAGACCGCCAGCUAAGGUCCCAAAGUGUGUAUUAAGUGGAAAAGGAUGUGGAGUUGCUUAGACAACUAGGAUGUUGGCUUAGAAGCAGCCACCAUUUAAAGAGUGCGUAAUAGCUCACUAGUCGAGUGACUCUGCGCCGAAAAUGUACCGGGGCUAAAUACACCACCGAAGCUGCGGAUUGAUACCAAUGGUAUCAGUGGUAGGGGAGCGUUCUAAGGACAGUGAAGUCAGACCGGAAGGACUGGUGGAGUGCUUAGAAGUGAGAAUGCCGGUAUGAGUAGCGAAAGACGGGUGAGAAUCCCGUCCACCGAAUGCCUAAGGUUUCCUGAGGAAGGCUCGUCCGCUCAGGGUUAGUCAGGACCUAAGCCGAGGCCGACAGGCGUAGGCGAUGGACAACAGGUUGAUAUUCCUGUACCACCUCUUUAUCGUUUGAGCAAUGGAGGGACGCAGAAGGAUAGAAGAAGCGUGCGAUUGGUUGUGCACGUCCAAGCAGUUAGGCUGAUAAGUAGGCAAAUCCGCUUAUCGUGAAGGCUGAGCUGUGAUGGGGAAGCUCCUUAUGGAGCGAAGUCUUUGAUUCCCCGCUGCCAAGAAAAGCUUCUAGCGAGAUAAAAGGUGCCUGUACCGCAAACCGACACAGGUAGGCGAGGAGAGAAUCCUAAGGUGUGCGAGAGAACUCUGGUUAAGGAACUCGGCAAAAUGACCCCGUAACUUCGGGAGAAGGGGUGCUUUCUUAACGGAAAGCCGCAGUGAAUAGGCCCAAGCGACUGUUUAGCAAAAACACAGCUCUCUGCGAAGCCGUAAGGCGAAGUAUAGGGGGUGACACCUGCCCGGUGCUGGAAGGUUAAGGAGAGGGGUUAGCGUAAGCGAAGCUCUGAACUGAAGCCCCAGUAAACGGCGGCCGUAACUAUAACGGUCCUAAGGUAGCGAAAUUCCUUGUCGGGUAAGUUCCGACCCGCACGAAAGGUGUAACGAUUUGGGCACUGUCUCAACCAGAGACUCGGUGAAAUUAUAGUACCUGUGAAGAUGCAGGUUACCCGCGACAGGACGGAAAGACCCCGUGGAGCUUUACUGUAGCCUGAUAUUGAAUUUUGGUACAGUUUGUACAGGAUAGGCGGGAGCCUUUGAAACCGGAGCGCUAGCUUCGGUGGAGGCGCUGGUGGGAUACCGCCCUGACUGUAUUGAAAUUCUAACCUACGGGUCUUAUCGACCCGGGAGACAGUGUCAGGUGGGCAGUUUGACUGGGGCGGUCGCCUCCUAAAGUGUAACGGAGGCGCCCAAAGGUUCCCUCAGAAUGGUUGGAAAUCAUUCGUAGAGUGCAAAGGCAUAAGGGAGCUUGACUGCGAGACCUACAAGUCGAGCAGGGACGAAAGUCGGGCUUAGUGAUCCGGUGGUUCCGCAUGGAAGGGCCAUCGCUCAACGGAUAAAAGCUACCCCGGGGAUAACAGGCUUAUCUCCCCCAAGAGUCCACAUCGACGGGGAGGUUUGGCACCUCGAUGUCGGCUCAUCGCAUCCUGGGGCUGUAGUCGGUCCCAAGGGUUGGGCUGUUCGCCCAUUAAAGCGGUACGCGAGCUGGGUUCAGAACGUCGUGAGACAGUUCGGUCCCUAUCCGUCGUGGGCGUAGGAAAUUUGAGAGGAGCUGUCCUUAGUACGAGAGGACCGGGAUGGACGCACCGCUGGUGUACCAGUUGUUCUGCCAAGGGCAUAGCUGGGUAGCUAUGUGCGGAAGGGAUAAGUGCUGAAAGCAUCUAAGCAUGAAGCCCCC
rnacentral:rRNA from 1 species